rnacentral:antisense_RNA from 1 species
UAAAGGUGAGCCACAGACAUGCAGCACCACCAGAGACAACACCCCGUGGCAAGAAGACCAUGUUCUGGACUGUCUCCGUAUUGCCACGGGCACAGAAGAAGGAGAAAACCACAGGAGUCCCACGAAGGUGCAGAGGUCUACACAGGAGUUCAGGAUAGACAUCUUGCUGGCAGGACAUGGCCAUAGACUCCUCUAACUUAUUCCCCAAAGUGCAAGAGCAGGUCUUCUUCAGUCCAUCCUUCUAACCUGUCCAGAGCAGCUGUAUGCUUACUGCCAGAUCACUCUACCCUUCUGGGGCAACAGGACUCUAGCCCUGAGGACUCUGCAAAGCUAGGCCCCUGAUGGUCUACUAUGCUUAGAGACCAUUAUGCAUGGGGCUCUUUGGGCUUCUGAAGGGCUCCCUGGGAGAAACUGCCUUCUAAAUCUGACUACUAAGAUGAUACUAUGGGAACAGAUUGUGAGGACAGAAAGAAAAAAAUAAAUAAAAAUUAAAAACGUAGAAAAAAGAAAAAAA